rnacentral:rRNA from 1 species
UGGGGAAUAUUGGACAAUGGGCGAAAGCCUGAUCCAGCCAUGCCGCGUGUGUGAAGAAGGUCUUCGGAUUGUAAAGCACUUUAAGUUGGGAGGAAGGGCAUUAACCUAAUACGUUAGUGUUUUGACGUUACCGACAGAAUAAGCACCGGCUAACUCUGUGCCAGCAGCCGCGGUAAUACAGAGGGUGCAAGCGUUAAUCGGAAUUACUGGGCGUAAAGCGCGCGUAGGUGGUUUGUUAAGUUGGAUGUGAAAUCCCCGGGCUCAACCUGGGAACUGCAUUCAAAACUGACUGACUAGAGUAUGGUAGAGGGUGGUGGAAUUUCCUGUGUAGCGGUGAAAUGCGUAGAUAUAGGAAGGAACACCAGUGGCGAAGGCGACCACCUGGACUAAUACUCACACUGAGGUGCGAAAGCGUGGGGAGCAAACA